rnacentral:rRNA from 1 species
GAUGAACGCUGGCGGCGUGCUUAACACAUGCAAGUCGAACGAGUGGCGAACGGGUGAGUAACACGUGAGUAACCUGCCCUUGACUCUAGGAUAAGCCCGGGAAACUGGGUCUAAUACUGGAUAGUCAUGGAUGGACUCGCGGCCUAUCAGCUUGUUGGUGAGGUAAUGGUCACCAAGGCGCGACGGGUAGCCGGCCUGAGAGGGUGGCCGGCCACACUGGGACUGAGACACGGCCCAGACUCCUACGGGAGGCAGCAGUGGGGAAUAUUGCACAAUGGGCGGAAGCCUGAUGCAGCAACGCCGCGUGAGGGAUGACGGCCUUCGGGUUGUAAACCUCUUUUAGCAGGGAAGCGGUACCUGCAGAAAAAGCGCCGGCUAACUACGUGCCAGCAGCCGCGGUAAUACGUAGGGCGCAAGCGUUAUCCGGAAUUAUUGGGCGUAAAGAGCUCGUAGGCGGUUUGUCGCGUCUGCUGUGAAUCCCGAGGCUCAACCUCGGGCCUGCAGUGGGUACGGGCAGACUAGAGUGCGGUAGGGGAGAUUGGAAUUCCUGGUGUAGCGGUGGAAUGCGCAGAUAUC